CUAGGCUACAUUGCUUCUAUUGCUUACACCCUCUCUGCCAUAAGCUCUCCUUAUCUGUAAAGGGAGGGGCCCUACUCAAUUGGUGCCUUAACUCCCAGUUCCUUUGAUGUCUUAAUGGUCCAUUACUCCAAGUGAUCACCUCAUGCAGGAGGUUAUUCCUGGCUUUAUUAGGUUUUGCCAUUUGCUUAUUCCAGAGGAUUAGAUGCACCUACUACACAGCUGAAAUAUGCACAGGUUGAGCACAGUUUUAACACUAAGUCUUAGUUAAAUUCUAACAUUAGCUCGAUCCGGGAAUUUUAGGGGAAUUCUAGCACCCACAACUCCUGAAAAUAUGUGCGUGUGUGUGUGUGACACACACACACAGAGAGGAAAGGUGGGCAAUUAUACAGCUGUCUUGUAAGAAGCUGUCAAAAGAGAGAUUGUGCUGGUAUUUGUAUGGUUAGUCACUAACUGAGCAACCCUAACCAGGCAGAUGCAUUCCUGGCUACCAAGGCAAAUCUCACCUAGUCUGAGACACCUUUGUUCAUGUCAGCAGUCUAUUCAUGUUAGUGUUGCAGUGUUAAGAGUAGCUAACUCAUACAUCUAUUUUUAUUAGCUUUUUCUUCUUCAGAGAAGCUGUGUUACACGGCUCCAACCUUUAAAAAGGUUUUUUAAGUAUGCACCUCCAGUGGAGUCUUUCUGUGAUCGAUAAGCAAAUAAACCGCAUCAGGGAACUAUAUACCAUGUACCUGUCUAUACGUAUCAGCACAUGGAGUUUCUAAUAUAGACAAAUGCCAUCAGCCAGCCAUGUUCUCUUCUAAUGUUCUCCACACUACUUCUCCCUCCAGCAGACAUUCAGCAUUCUGUAGCCACUGAGAAUUGCCUCACUAGGACUAUCACGUUUUCUUUCCUAAAUAUUCCUAAAUAAUUAUUCUCUCUUUUUUAUUUCUCUUUCUUUUUCUUUCUUUCUCCUUUUCUUCUGGAUCUAUGUUUUAUUUCACUUAGAUUAAUGUUUUAGUCUGGAUAAAAAAUAUAUUUGAUAAUCUUCUUUAUAUUUCUCUUUAUAAACUCUAAUAAAUUUUUUCAAAGAAAAGAAUAGAAUCCUAUACAGCACCAAAGGCAGCCUUAAGUGCUUGAGUGCCUGUUCUUUAAGCUGGAAAUGUUGCAGCACAUCCUUAGACACUCUGCUGCAGGUACCAUAGAAAAUAUCCCCUGCUAUGUUUAUGAUAGAAGACUAGAAUUAUUGGGCCGGAUAGCUGUCAUAAACCUGGGGUAUCAGCUCAUAGUCACUGUGUGACUGCUAUUAUCCAAAAAAAUACUCUUAGGACCAGUUCACAUUGCUCCAUAAAUGUUAUACCCUUAACCAUGCAGAUACAUACUUUAGGAAACUGUGAUUGACUGAAGUUCCUUGUUAAAUGUACACAUAAUAGCACACACAGUUUUGCCUUUGCGUAGGUGAAAUGGCCGUGCCGUUUUUGCGAUGGAAGUCUAAUGUUAUAAAAAGAGAGAGUGCAUGAAUAUGUCA